GUAUCAUGGCUCAGGAUGAACGCUAGCUACAGGCUUAACACAUGCAAGUCGAGGGGCAGCAUGUUGGUUGCUUGCAACCAAUGAUGGCGACCGGCGCACGGGUGAGUAACGCGUAUCCAACCUACCCUUGUCCAUCGGAUAACCCGUCGAAAAGGCGGCCUAACACGAUAUGCGGUUCACAGCAGGCAUCUAAACGUGAACGAAAAUGUGAAGGAGAAGGAUGGGGAUGCGU
rnacentral:rRNA from 1 species